rnacentral:sRNA from 1 species
CUCGUUCCUCGUUUUGCAGUGGAAAUCCUUUUUUGAAAAAAAAGAUUGUAACGGAAAGCGGGAUUAAGC